rnacentral:rRNA from 2 species
GUGACCCCAGGUCAGGCGGGACUACCCGCUGAAUUUAA